AGAGUUUGAUCCUGGCUCAGAGUGAACGCUGGCGGCAGGCCUAACACAUGCAAGUCGAACGGCAGCACAGCAGUAGCAAUACUGUGGGUGGCGAGUGGCGGACGGGUGAGGAAUGCGUCGGAAUCUGCCUAUUUGUGGGGGAUAACGUAGGGAAACUUACGCUAAUACCGCAUACGACCUACGGGUGAAAGUGGGGGACCUUCGGGCCUCACGCAGAUAGAUGAGCCGACGCCGGAUUAGCUAGUUGGCGGGGUAAAGGCCCACCAAGGCGACGAUCCGUAGCUGGUCUGAGAGGAUGAUCAGCCACACUGGGACUGAGACACGGCCCAGACUCCUACGGGAGGCAGCAGUGGGGAAUAUUGGACAAUGGGCGCAAGCCUGAUCCAGCCAUGCCGCGCGUGUGAAGAAGGCCUUCGGGUUGUAAAGCACUUUUGUCCGGAAAGAAAUCCUUUCGAUUAAUACUCGGGAGGGAUGACGGUACCGG
rnacentral:rRNA from 1 species